AUCGCUUCUCGGCCUUUUGGCUAAGAUCAAGUGUAGUAUCUGUUCUUAUCAGUUUAAUAUCUGAUACCUCCCCCUUUUAGACCGUGAGCCCACUGUUGGGCAGGGACUGCCUCUAUAUGUUGCCAAUUUGUACUUCCCAAGCGCUUAGUACAGUGCUCUGCACACACAGUAAGCGCUCAAAUACGAUUG